UACGGAGGGUGCAAGCGUUAUCCGGAUUUACUGGGUUUAAAGGGUGUGUAGGCGGACUUUUAAGUCCGUGGUGAAAUCUCCGGGCUCAACCCGGAAACUGCCAUGGAUACUAUUUGUCUUGAAUAUUGUUGAGGUGGGCGGAACGGGUCGAUGUAGCGGUGAAAUGCAUAGAUAUGACCCGGAACACCGAUUGCGAAGGCAGCCCACUAAGCAAUUUAUUGACGCUGAGGCACGAAAGCGUGGGGAUCAAACAGG
rnacentral:rRNA from 1 species